GGCCGGGGCGGCAGGCCCAGGAGAAGCAGCAGCUGCAGGGAGACCAGGACGCCCAGCGACGGCGGGAAGGAGGCCCCACGGCCACAGUCUGAGCAGCCGGCCAGCCUCACACUGGCUGCACAGCGGCUUCUCGGCCACCACGAAGAGAAGGCUGGGUGAUGCCUACGUGUUGAGAUCCUGGUCCCUCCACACACGCUCUACUAGCUGCUGCGUGAUGCCGGUGUCCAAGAUCAGGUUGUGCAGAAGGAAGUUGUUGCCUGGAACAGGAGGGUAGGGCUGCAGGGGGCGUCUUCCUGUAGCUCCCUGUCUACCCUCACCCCUACCCUCAAGGCUCCACCAGGAGUCUCCCCCAUGACCUGGCCCGGGCCCAGCCUUUGGCUUGGGCCUGCUUAUUUCCACACCUGCCCGGUCUCUGGGUUCCUUUGGGCUGACCCCAUGCUGCCUGGGCACUGCCCACAUCCAGCUGCCCUGUCAGGCACUCACACUGCUUGGAGUCUGGAGUCACUUUCUCCAUGAGCUCAAUAAAGUUUUUCAGGAACUCGG